UCAUGUAGGGUUCCAAAGCUGGCGUUG
rnacentral:piRNA from 1 species